AUACGGAGGGUGCAAGCGUUACUCGGAAUUACUGGGCGUAAAGCGCACGUAGGCGGAUUGGAAAGUUGGGGGUGAAAUCCCAGGGCUCAACCCUGGAACUGCCUCCAAAACUAACAGUCUAGAGUUCGAGAGAGGUGAGUGGAAUUCCAAGUGUAGAGGUGAAAUUCGUAGAUAUUUGGAGGAACACCAGUGGCGAAGGCGGCUCACUGGCUCGAUACUGACGCUGAGGUGCGAAAGCCAGCGGAGCGAACCGGAUUAGAUACCCGAGUAGUCC
rnacentral:rRNA from 1 species